GCGCCUCCUGACUCGGAACAAGAGCUGGGUCGGAGGGGGCGGGACCUGAGAGUCCGGGCGGGUCGCUGCAGCCGAGGAGCCGGCGGCGCCAGCGCCGCAGUCGUGGAUGCCUACGUCGCCUUUGCGUCCGCGAUGGACUCGGUUUUGGAAGAGGACGUCACCCUCCCCGGGACGCUCAGCGGCUGCAGUGGCCUGGUCUCCACUCUGCCAGAUAAUCUGAAUGGCAUCAGCAUCAGUGCUGGCUUGGGAAAUGGCGGGCUUCCAAAAGCAUCAGAGGAAAAGGUUUCUCCUACCCGAGCACGGAACAUGAAGGAUUUUGAAAAUCAAAUCACUGAACUGAAGAAAGAAAACUUUAACCUGAAGCUCCGCAUCUAUUUCCUCGAGGAAAGAAUGCAGCAGGAGUUUGAUGGUCCCACUGAACAGGUCUACAGAACUAACAUUGAGCUCAAGGUGGAAGUAGAAAGUCUGAAGCGGGAGCUCCACGAGAGAGAGAAACUGCUCAUCAAAGCCUCCAAAGCGGUGGAGAGUUUAGCGGAAGGGGGUGGCUCUGAGAUUCAGCGGGUGAAAGAAGACGCCCAGAAGAAGGUGCAGCAGGUAGAAGACCUCCUAACAAGAAGAAUCCGCCUUCUGGAAGGGGAUGUGAAAGCCGCCCAAGCAGAACUGGAGAAAGCCUUUGUGGGGACAGAAAUGGAGAAGGCUCUUCGGCUGAGUUUGGAAAGCCAGCUUGCAGCGAUGAAGAAGAUGCAGGAGGGGGACUUGGAGGUGGCUCUGGCCCUGGACGAGAAGGACAGGCUGAUUGAGGAGUUGAAGCUGUCUUUGAAGAGCAAAGAAGCUUUAAUUCAGUGCCUUAAAGAGGGGAAAUCUCAGAUGGCAUCUCCUGAUGAGAACGUGGCCUCUGGAGAGCUCGGAGGACUUUCUACUGCUCUGAAGGAAGCUAAGGAGAGAGACGAGGAUGAGGCCACACAAACGGAGCGCCAGAAGGAGAGAAAUCACUUUGAAGAGAGGAUCCAGGCACUUCAGGAGGACCUGAGAGAGAAAGAAAGAGAAAUUGCUACAGAGAAGAAAAAUAGUUUAAAGAGGGAUAAAGCUAUCCAGGGCUUAACCACGGCACUAAAAUCAAAGGAGAGAGCGGUUGAGGAACUUAACGCUGAAAUCAAAGAUCUCAACGCUGCCUUCGCAAAAGCCAAAGAAGCCUCCCAGAAAACCCAGACCCAGGGGUCUGAAGAUCACCAGGCUGCUUUGGCGGAGAAGGAAGCCCUGUUGGCUGAGCUGCACUCGGAAAACCUCACCAAGAACACUGAGAACCACAGGCUGCGAAGGAACAUGAAGAAGAUGAGCCAGGAGCUGGGCGAGCUGCAGCAGGAGAAGGCGAGGCUGGAGCAAGAGCUGGACGAAGCCCGGCGGGAGGGCAGCCGAGGAGCUCGAACUGCCAAUGACCUCAGGAAUGAAGUUGAGAAAUUACGCAAUGAAGUGAAUGAAAGGGAGAAAGCAGUGGAGAAUCAUUACCAGAGUCUUUUGAGUGAAAGCAACAGAAAGUUGCACAGUCAAGAGCAAAUCAUCAAACGUCUGAGAGAAAGCGCCAAUCAAAAGGACUUGAUGCUUCGGAAAUUCAGUGAAAAAGAUUUGGAAGCAAUACAGCAGAGUCAUCAUUUAAUGACCACGGAGGAUCUGGAGUUUGGGAGCGAAGGCUUAAUAACAGAAAAGUGCUCUUCUCAACAGUCACCAGGCAGCAAACUCAUCUUCUCUCAGGAAAAGCUGCAUUCAGACUAUGAAGAGUUGGUUGAGGUCUUAAAGAAGGAGCAGGACAUCUAUGCCCAUUUGGUGAAAUCUCUGCAGGACCCAAACAGUGUCAACAACCUGCAGGCUGAGUUAGGCCACAUUUUUGCCUUGCGGAAGCAGCUGGAGCAGGAUGUGCUCGCACAUCGGAAUUUGCAAAAGGCCCUGGAGGAACAGAUCAGCGAAAUUCGGAGGCGAGAAGAGGAACCAUUUUCAUUUUAUAGCGAUCAAACAUCUUAUCUAAGUAUUUGCCUUGAAGAACCCGAUCGGUUUCAAGUGGAGCGUUUUUCUCAAGAAGAACUUAAGAGAAAGGUCAGUGACCUCAUACAGCUCGUGAAGGAAUUAUACACAGACAACCAGCACUUGAAGAAAACCAUUUUUGACAUCUCCUGCAUGGGUGUUCAGGGAAAUGGCAGACUUGAGUCCACACAACAGACAGAGCUUCUGGCUAGCAAGGAGGACGAGGACAUGAUCAAAAUUGAAGAGGAUGGCGAGAACAAUUUCCAGAGUGACCAGCGAUUGCAGCAGAGUAAUGAGAUGAUAGAGGACCAUGCUAAAGGAGGCUGCAAAAAUGGAUAUUUAAGGCACACAGAUGCCAAUAUUUUAGACCAUGAUGGAGUCCCCAAGCCUGGCCACCGUGGAGACCAGCGCCUAGAAGAACUUCUGGGGCUGCUUACUCCUUUCUUCCAUGAGAAGGCCUCAUUGCUGCUGGAGUCCAGAAACAGGCCAGACCUUCUGAAAGCUCUACAAGAACUGCUUCUGGGGCGGAUAUACCUGGCAGAGCAGGAAGCUUCUGGAGAACACGUUGAUGGUAAAACAGAGAAGAUGCUCAAGCAAAUUGCUGUUCAGCUGAGAAGAGAACUUGAGCAUUCUGUCCCAGCCAGCCCCUUUGCCAAGCCACACGAUGGGCUGAAGUCCCCUUGGAGGGCCCAGCUAGUGAAGACAAGUGAAGUGGACAGGACGGAGAUGAAAAAUGUCUCUGUGCAGACCGUGGCUGUGGAGGAAGACCCUCUCAGGUUCACUUAUGAGGGGCAGAAAAAGGCUUGGGAAGAUGUGGUGGCAGAUGCCACGUUCAGCUCUGAGCCCCAGCCAGAGAACUUGUGUGGGAUGCCAGGGAUGCAGACCACUCUCCUCUCCUUACCCUGUGUGACCAACAAAGAGGCUAAGAAGUCCCGCCUGCCGAUCCUGAUGAAAUCAGCCCAGUCAUUAGGGCAUGCAUAUCGUUUCCUUGCCACUCAGGAGGUGGUGGCCAAACUUCAGGGCCAGAUCAUGGAGCUUCAGGGUGAGCUGAAGGAGUGUAAAACACAUAAUAAGCAGCUUCAUCACAAGUUAAUUCUGGUGGAGGCCCUGAUGGAGGGGAAGCCAGCACCUGACCAAAUGCUGCUGAAUGUGCCUGCAGCUCAGCCCCUUGUGGAAGCAGCCUCCCAAGACAGCCCAGGCAAGCACGAAGGAACUAAAAGCUCACCCUCAGCCCAGAGAGACAAGGACCAGCACACCAACCUUGAGACCGAUUCUGAAAUUUAUUCACCUGAUGACCUGGCUGUGUUGCCAACACAUAAAGAGAACUCUGAAGAUUUUCUGGACCCAACUUCUGCAGCCACUUGCUUGGAUUCGAAGAGUCAGCUUUCUGUUAAAGUCAGUGUGUCUGAGUCUGAUCCAUCUGGGGACCUCGACAUUUCACAUGACACAGAAUACUUAAAACAGAAAAUCUGUGACUUGGAAACUGAGCUGGAGGGCUACCGGAAUUUCCUGUUUCAGCUUCAAAAGCACUCUCAAUGCAGCGAGGCCAUUAUCACGGUUCUGUGUGGGACAGAAGGGGCCCAAGAUGGCUUGAACAAACCCAAGGGCAGUACUGAUGAAGAAGAGAUGACCUUUUCAAGUUUGCACCAAGUACGAUACGUGAAACACAUGAAAAUCCUCCGCCCACUCACCCCCGAGAUGAUUGAUAGCAGGAUGUUAGAAAGCCUCAGACAACAGCUGGUGCAGCAGGAGUAUGAGCUGCAGAAGGAGCAGAAUUUGAACUUGGAACUUUUCAGUGAAAUCCAUAACCUGCAGAAUAAGUUCCGAGAUCUUUCACCUGCCAGAUAUGAUUCAUUAGUUCAGUCCCAAGCCAGGGAGCUCUCCCUUCAGCGGCAGCAGAUUAAGGAUAGCCAUGACAUCUGUGUCAUUUACCGUCAACACAUGAGCACCAUGAUCAAGGCGUUUGAGGAGCUGCUGCAGGCUAGCGACGUGGAUGCCUGUGUGGCCGAGGGCUUCCAGGAGCAGCUGAAUCAGUGCGCCGAGCUGCUGCAGCGGCUGGAGAAGCUUCUCCUCCACGGCAAAUCAGCUGGAGUGGAACUGGGUUCCCAGAAUGAACUGAUGGAGAGGACUGAGGAAGACAACCCAGCCUACCAAGACAUUCUCCCCAAAUCUCCGGAGCCUCCCGCCUCUCAUAUAUUAUCUGAUGAUGAAAUGUCUGAGAAGUCUUUCCUCUCACGGGACCCAAAGCAAGACAGUGAGACCGAGAAGAUCUCAGCAGUGUCGAGCCGCUUUCCUCAAGACUUACUAAUGGAACACAUACAGGAAAUUCGAACUUUGAGGAAACGCCUAGAAGAAUCUAUUAAAACAAACGAGAAGCUACGGAAACAGCUGGAACGGCAGGGGUCUGAACUGGAACAAGGUCCCACAAACACUCUUACUCAUGGUUCUGAGCUGCACAGUUCUCUGAUAUCUGAGAUCCACUUCCUGAGGAAGCAAAACCAGGCCCUCAGUAUGAUGCUUGUGAAAGGAUCCAAAGAUAAACAGAAGGAGAAUGACAAAUUACGAGAGUCUCUCUCCAAAACGGCCGCGAGCUUUGAGCACCUUCAGCAGGAGUGUGCGGGAGUGAGGGAAGAAAACGAAAGGCUGUGGAAGGACCUUGCUGAGAGGGAGAGCCACAACCAGCAACUGGCCCGGGAGCUGAGCAGGACACAGGAGGAGGUGAUGUCAAAGCAGCAGCUGCUCUCAGAGAAUAACGAGCUGCUGCAGUCCCUCCGAGUGGAGCUGAAGGUAUACCAGAAGCUGGAUGAAGAGCACAGGCAGCGGUGGCAAGAGGCCCAAGCUGAGCCGUCUGGAGAAGGCUGGAAGGGGCAGGAUCCUUUGAGAGACCUGCAUGGCCUCCUGACCGAGAUGCAGGCUCUGCGGGCCCAGCUGGAAAAGAGCAUUGAAACCAACAGCACCCUGCGGAGCAGGCUGGAGGAGCAGCUGGCACAGGGGGCGAACAAGGCCCAGGAAGGAGCCCUCAUUCCAGCCACGCAGGCCCUGUGCAUCCCCGAGUGGUCCCUUCAGCUGGACAAACAUGAUGGUGACAAAUGUCCCGUGCCAAGUGAGAACUCAUUUGAUUCCACUCAGGCAGUGACAGUAAAAUCAGAGACUCCCCUGCUCUCUGGAAACGAUGUGGACUCCUUUUCCUGUGAUAGUGGCAGCUUGGCCACCAAUACUGCACAAGUGUCCUUCUUGGUCACUAGCCACCGCCUGUGGGCCAGCAGCAGUGGCCGCCAUAUCCUGGGCCUGGCCGAGGACUAUGAUGCCCUCUGUAAACAGAUCAGCCAGGGCCACAAGCUCCUUGCAGAAAUGGACCUUCAAACCCGAGAGGCCCUGAACCCCACAUGUGGAGAGCCGGGGACAAAGGGUCCACACCUGGUGACUCUGAGCAAGUUUGUCUUCAGUGUGGGUGCAGCCAAGCUGGUCCUGGAAGAGGCCUCAAGGCUGCUGCAGCUCCUCUGGAGAGUCUCACUGCCCCCAAAUGGCCAGUGUUCCCUUCACUGUGAGCAGGUCUGAGGGGAAUAAAACUGGAAAUCAGCAGCAAAAGAAAUUACGGAAAGUAUUCAAGUAGAUGGUGCCUGACUGAACAUUAUACUUUUCAAUGAUCAAGGUAAAGAAGAAUAAAAUUAUGUCAUUUGCAUGAACAUGGAUGGAACUAGAGCACAUCAUGUUAAGCAAAUCAGCCUGACUUGGAAAAGCAGAUUGGUGAAAUGAAGUCAGAGAUCACCAAACUAUACAAAACGUUGUUUGAACAAGAAAAGAAGCUGCAGAACAGUGUG